rnacentral:misc_RNA from 1 species
UUUCCGUAGGUGAACCUGCGGAAGGAUCAUUACCAAAAGAUAAUCUUUCAAAUCGAAAGAUCUUUUCCUUUGUGCUGGCUUUGACCGUAUGUAAUUUUGGGACUUAAACAUGGUAGCUUUUUUGUUACCGGUCCCAAAAACAAUUAUAUCAUCCUUAUGAAAAACUUACUGAAAACUAAACAAUGAUUUUAAUAAUCUGUUUAAAACAACUUUCAACAACGGAUCUCUUGGUUCUC